GGCUACGUAAUUUAUGAUAGCCAAUGAGCAUAGAGAAGGGAGUAAUGCGUCAUCAGAUAUUUAAAUGAGCAGUGAACGACCUGCUGCUUCCUUAUUAGUUUUGUUAAGUAGUGGUCGAGUGUUUCGGUGUAACAAAUGCGGGACACACCAACCUGUAUCUGAUCUGUCUGCGCGUGUCUGAAGUUCGCUUCACAUUUAAGGAGAGGCGAACCAAACUUUCACUGCUCAGGUGCUCAACGCCUUCGCUCAGCUGGCGAGAGCCGAGGAGGACGUUACUAAA